GUCGACCCCUGCCCACAGAAAUGUGCCCAAAGCAGGUACUUAGAUUUUUCAGCUUACAUUUUUGUAGCUUAUUUCGCAAUGUUGUACUUUUUACCCGACCUUUGAAUGGCAACUAAAUGUGACAAAUACGACGUAUUUUUAUAUCUAUUCAGCAAUUUCCACCACUCAGACGUUACAAAAGCAUCCUGAUUUGAUGGUACACACGUGGUUAUUUUUUAGUAGUGCAUAGUAGUUAACUUUACAGUUGGAAAUAUCGUUUUGACAUUCAACUAAUUAAAUAAUCAUAUAAGUUAGUAAUCAUUAUCUAAAAGAAUGUAAUAAAUUCCCCUUGGAGUGAAUCCAUAUAAAAAUUGCAAAACUGCCAAAACUGCAUAGUUGAAUGAUAUUUAUUCGUUUUGCAGUUUCAUCACAGAUCAACAUUCUCUAAAAUAAUAACAAUAAUAUGAAAAUUUGCAAAAGUUAUACAAUGUGCAUGCCAACGGGCUAAUGAUGAUGUAGGCUGAUGAGACAUAACCCGAUGCACAAUCAGAUUCGGCCCGAAUGCGUCCCGCAUACGAUGUUUUCGGUUUAGAGGCGGCCGAAAUUAUCGCCUCAAUUACGACUACGGAUAGAUUUCUAAUUUCAGAUUCUAUGUAGUAACUCACAGUAGCGGGUGGGCCACCUUCGGUUUCAAAGCUAAAAAAAGAUUUCGUUUAACCGACAAAUUUAUGCUAUCGAGCAGAAUUCGGAUUUUCUCUCGCUAUCCGAAUUCUGCUGCCGACUACGGCCCGAAUGCGGGGCGAGCUCAGCUCAGCAGCGGGGUUUUUAAAAACUAUAUGCCAUGCCUUUCGCUAUUAGCACUUAGCACCGGUCGCUGAUUUCGCUACUCAACGUCCCAGAAAACAGUGAAUAGUUUAAAGAAUAAACCCGUUGCCGUGGUUUUCGUAGAAGAAGAUAAAACUUUGGUUUCGGAUGUGUCAGCAAACUGGUUAAGUGCCAAUAAGUGCCCAGUGUUCUUGGCCAUCAGGUCCAGGAAGUCAGAAGUAAUCAAAAAUAAACCAAUCUUGUUGUAUCCGAUAUGAGCUGGGAAAACACCAAAGCUCUCUUCUUAAAUUUUCAAGUAAGUUUCCAUUCUAGGUGGUAUUAUAAAAUGAUAUAAUUUGUCAGUAUAUUAGGAUGCAAUAUAAAUGUAAGUUUAUAUGUAUUCCGUUGCUACAUUAAAUAAAGUAAAUUGAUUUGUGAA